rnacentral:lncRNA from 1 species
AAUCGUCGAUCAACAGUCUAGUAACAACCAUAAUACUUAGUAAACAUAGUAUUACCUAUGGGAUUCGACACCCAACCCAGUUGGGUUCUAUAUUUGAUAGUGACCGCUUACACUUUCUAACGAGAGUUGUAAUUUGGGCAUAUCAAUAACCUGCCUUAACAACGAAGCACACCAUCUUCAUUUUAGGAGAAAACUUACAUCUUUUAGUCUCUAACUCCC